GCUUCAAACUUUCAGAAAACAUAAAACUUUGCAUUUUAUGGCCAAUUAUAGCAAAAUAAUUCUUGUCUUGUUGACAAGGUCAGGAAGUACCUUUUGAUUUCUAAUGUUGAAACAGAAACACCAUUAAAUUUGUUUCUAUUUCCAUGGUUGGUUUCCAUUCUGUCAUCCUCUGUAUGGAUCCUCUAUAAUGUGAUGGUCUUGCUUUUUGAAGGUUACAAGCUCUAUGCUAGUCGACUGUUGCCCGCACCAAUGUGAAAUUCAGAGUACAGAGUUGACUGAAUCUGACAGGGUGGAGACUGCUUUGGCCAACUUAUUGUCUGUUCCUUAGCUUUUCAACGUUUUUCUUUUCUCAUGUUGGGCAAGAAGGUUGGUCCACGAUUGAGCCAUGCCCUCAAUCUCUAGUGCUGCAUUGUUUCAUGGUGGAGUCUCUCCCCAGAUUUGCCUGCAAAAACUCCAUCUGUGCUGUUUGGGAAGCUUGAUUGUGGAAUGGUAAGGAAGAAGAUCAAUCUUUGGAGCUUAGUUUGGAGGCUUUAGACAUUGCCACCAUAAAAUAAGCGACAUUUGUUUUGUCCAAUUUGAUUGUUGCAGAUAAUUAUGUGUCACUGUUCAAAUCUGCUUUUGUUCAACAAGUGUACUCUAUUUUUACAUUAAUACAUAAAAGGUUGUUUGGGGUGUUCAUCCCCAAGUUUAAAAGUUGAA